CAGUAUUGGUAUUGCAAUUAUUAUGUGGAAUUUCAUAUCGGUAUAUCAUAUAUAUACUGCUAUAGCAUGCAAGUUCAAUCAGUUGAACUGUGAAUUGGAUACUAAUAAUGGGUUUGGUUUUAUAUUUCAAAGCACAUUCUGUGUGGCAAUAUCAUGCAAGAAUUUGAGUUUAAGGACCUACCUCUGAGCAGUAAGCUAAUGUUUUUUUUUGUCAAUUGAAUUCUUCACAUACAUUCUUGUAAGAUUUCAUAUCGUAGAGCCAUCAAGUUAGCUAGCUCACUCUUUAUUUUAGCUUCAUCCAACAUGGAAUAAACAAGAGAGACUUGGUCCAAAAUGACAAUACCUGUCGUCAACACAGCACUUGCAGCUAUUCGAUUGAAACAAAUCUGGCAAUAAUAAAAACAUGUUCUUUUUGCACAAAAUAUUUAAAAAAAAGUGUGGCAAACUACAACUCUGCUGUUGCUGGCUACAUCUAUUUUGGUGUCAAGACACAGUAAAGGGGUUCCUUUCUACACCCACUGAAAAUAAUUUCAACUUGGAACUUGAAGAGCACACGUACAGUACCCCCCCUUCCCGUCACAAAAACACCAUUUCACACCUGCACAAGGGCAACUCAUCAUCAUCAUCAUCAUCAAUGCCACAAGCUCAUCCAAUAAAGCAACCCACAGUUACACCAAACCGUAUGUACGUGCCUUUAGUAUGUCAUUACACUGCUAUUUCACUUUUCAGAAUGAACCCUUUUACCCCUCCGGCGAUGAGAGUGGUUAGAAUGGGCGCCUCCUCCUCCUCUACUUGCUCUCUUUGUCUUCUUGCUGCAAAGUCCAUUGAAAUUGAAGCAUUUUCAGCGCCUUUUCCAUAUAGAGCACCAAUUCAUAUGAUUCAUAUACUAACCUGAAAGCAGCUGAACAAACUCUAGACAGGAUGAUUAUUGGCAGGGCCAGUAGAGCUGAUGCCUACAACAAUACCAAAACCCGUUAAAAAUAGUACACCGCAAACUUACCCCAAAAAAUCAAGGAUAUCAUUGAUGAUUGUGAAUCAUGAUGAGUACAUACCAAAAACCAGACCAAUUCUUUAGUUGCAAACUGUUUUGUCAAUUCAUGCUUCUUCAGGGUCUCUUGAACAGUUCCUUGCACCUAAGAAGAAAUUUGAGCCACUUAUCACUCACGCUAAGAUACAUUUUGAUAACCGAAUAACGAAAUUAUUCUCAAAUUCCCCAUAAACAGAUAGGAAACGCAAAUAUUAUGUUAAACAGAGCUAUAAACUACAAUUACACUUACCUGAUGAUGAUAUGUAGUGGCCGACUCUAGGAACUUCCCAUAAGCACGAACAGCUUGCUUAGUAUAUGGUCUAACAACCACCUUAAUUUUGUCAACAUGGGGUUUGGUGACUGAGGCAACUUGCUCAAUGUAUGGCUUACUGAACUUCUUAGCUUCCUGUGACAGCGGCAACCAUUUAAGAGUAUAAUUCAGAACAAGCAUACAGCAAAAACUGAUUUCUCAUCAGAUUUACCUGAAAGUAGGGGUCCACUAUCUCUUGUAUUUUAAUAACAUGAGCAGUUAUUGCAGUCUUUGAAGUCUCAUACACUUCCACAGUUUUGGCACUUGCUGACCGCACAUGUGGUUCAACCUGAGUUCUUACCUCCACCCACUGAUCCUUCACAGUUGGGACCCAUUUCUGAAUUCAACAGAUAGAAUAUAGUCCAAUUAAUGGAGUAACUAAUCUCGCACAUGAUCAGCAAUAAAUUACUUUUAAUCACGAAACAGUCGUCACAAACAUAGGGUUAAUGGGGUAGAUUAAAACACCCCACUCAGUAUUUCUGCUGGGUUUGACCUUAAGAAUAAGAUCAUAUAUCUAUAAAUUUAAAGUAACAAACCCAACAAAAGACCUAAAGAGCAAGAGUUCCCAUUCUAAUACAACAUAUCUAUGAAAAAGCUAAAAACAUACAUCUGUCUUCCAAAAGAGAGUCCUGCGACUUGAGCAAUGGUUCAAACCAUUUCUCACUAGGACAAAAGUAGUUUCUUUAGGUCGCACAUGUACUGUUCAUGUUUUCAUCGUUCAAUAAUAUACCAUUAUGAGAAUCAGUAGGGAGUUUAAGAAAAAGCUUACAGUUUUAACUGUUUCCAGGUGUGGUUCAGCCCACUUUGCAGCCUUUUCCUUGUGUUCCUGGGCCUAAAGCAGCAGAUUAAAUUGUCAACUUGAUGGCGAAAUAUAUGAAUAAAAUGUUUUACUUAUGAGGAGAAACGAAAAAGCUACAAAGGAAGAACCAAAUAUGGCUUCCAGAAACGAAAAUGGUCAUCACCUUUUGAAUCACUAAUUCCACGGUAGGCUUUCCAUGGGCAUUCCAAUGCUCCUGUGCCAAAGACUGAACCAGGUAAAAGUAAGGUAUAUUUCCAAGAUGGAGACCGAUAUGAUGAAGCCUACCAUGAUCUACUAGAACUCUUGAAACAAUUGUUUUUUCCACAAGAACCAAAAUGUUUUUUAUUAAUCUUCAACAAAAGGCAUAAUCAUUUUUUUCCCAAGUUCAGCACACAAUAUAGUACCUGAAAGCCAACAAACUGUACAGCAAGCCAUGGAGGAAGCCAAGCACCAUGAGCCUGAAACAUGAGGUAUGCUAACAUUAGUAAUCAGCAGCAUAUAGAGCACUAUUCCACACAGCACAUGCACUAAGAUAGAAAGUACAGAUGAGUCAGACAGUGACUUCUCCAAAUACAGUUACAAAAAUUAUGCCCCAUAACAGAUCAUAUAAAAAUUAGGCACUUAAAUGAAAAUCCAAAAGGCAACGACAGAAGAUAAAUAGAGACAACAAAGCAACACAAGAACAUGUGAUGGUCAUUAUUAAGACCAUAAACAUCACGCAACUUUGCUAAUGCCAGAAGGUCUUCAACAGUAUUUGAAGAAACUCUAAUGUUAGUUACCUCCAUUAACUCUUUUGUUCUUGAGCUGGCCUCCAACUUUGCCUUCAUCAUUUCCUCCUGUGGGGAAAACGUAAGUAGUAACGAAGAGUUACUUGAAAGCCCAAAAGACAACAUAAUAAGUUGCUAUAUUAGUUGUCUGGGAAGUAUACCUCAGCAACUUUAAGUGCACGUUCAGUUUUACGUAUUUUGCUCUUCUGCUCAUCGCUGAUGUUUUGCAGCUGAAUGUGAAAUCAAUUGAAAAGUUAUUCUCAAUUACAAUAACCCCCAGAAGUAGACCAAAUCUGUAUGAAAGUGAUGUUAGCGAUAUGGAUCAACCCAUUCCAAUUUGAAAGCAAGUUAUGCCAUUCAUCAAUUAUUUUGGAGGGAAGAAUCAAAUGCCGCAAUACUGAACCGCAGGAAUGGAGAGCAGAAGAUCAUAGUGUGAUCAGUAAAGAAACUUACAUCCUUAAGUUUUGAGUUCAAUUCAUCAAGUUUUGUUUCAGCUUUACUUGCUCUAUUCUCGAGGGCCUCCUUUUCAGUAUUUUGUGCUUCAAAUUCUUCUUUGAGUCUAUCAAGCUGACAAACAAAGAAAAACAUUAGAAAGUGAACAGAGUAGUUCACCGAAAUGUCAUACUUCAUUCUCCAAAUUUAUCAAGACCUGCUUCUCUAAGUCCACAACUUGUGCAUUGGCCUUGUUCAGCUGCUCAGCAGAGUCCAACUUCCCUUUUUUCUGUAAAGCAAAGACGAGCAAGCUUAAGACACAUUGACAGGGACGUCUUCGUAUAAAGAAUUGAACAUGAAUAGAUGAACGCAACCAUUGUAGGGUCAGAGAUAAUCUUCCACUGAAACGGUACUAGUGAAGAACACGCAUUGUUGGAUUCUUCUACUACCGAAUUACAGGAUAACACAAAAAGAUAGGAUAAACGGAGAAAACGUAAUAAGCAUGCAGAAAAGUCAUAUGUGAAGUACAUAGCAGAAAUCUGUUGUUCUGUUCCAUGCCACAAACCUGAAGGGAGGAUAUUUCACUCUGCAAUGAUGUAAUGCUAUCAGCCUUCUCUUUUAUGAGUUUCUCCUUCUUAGCUAAUUUCUCCUCUUUCUCCUUCAGUUCCUUUGCUUUCCUUUCAAACUGGGACUCUUUUAAAUCAUCCAACAAAUGGAAGCAAACAGCGAACAACAAAGUCAGAAGCUUUCUUCCCCAAUCGCAGAAUACGUACGAAUAUAGAAAGAAAACAAUCUACACCGUCAAAAAGACAAUAAGCAAAUUGAAAGCAGUAGACUUUCAGCAUCAAUAAUUCUAAAUAAGCCUGUCGGUUGAAAACUAAAUCAGAAAAAAUGUCUAACAACCUCGCAGUUUGUCUGAAAAACCCUAACGUUAGAAAAAGACACUCAAUCCAGAUCUUGCAAAUUGAAGACAAGUCGACAUCAAUCGAUUUCAGUGGAUAUAGCAAGCAAAGCAGACUAACCAAGUUCCUGGAUCUUGGACUUGGCUUGGUCAAGUUCGAACUUCAGAGCAGAAGAGUGGAGGUCUGAAGAUUCAGUAACUUGAAUCGCCGGCUUACCAACAUCGCCGUCGACAUCGGCCCAAACAGCAGACAGGAGUAGGGCGAGGAAGAACGAGAACGCUAGGAACUUAGCGGCCGCCAUAUAUGACCGCCAGUGAAAAUCGGAAACCGCGGCAAGAGAAGAAGAAGAAGUGGAUAUAUGAUGAAGAAGAAGGAGAAGAAGAAAGAACCAGUUCUUCUACUCACAAGGCGGGUUGGUGAGUUGAUUAUAGAAAUGAAGGGUUAAUAAUAUGGAUCCAUCAUCUACCAACCAACCAAACAAUGUGUUAAAUGCCUGGAUGGAUCGAUAGAAUCGAAGAGGAAAUUGAAUAAAAUAACCAGAGAAAAGAAGGGAAAGCACUGAAGAGAUGUAAAUGGGGAAAGAUUCAGACACGUAAGCGAAAAGCUAGACAAGAUUAAUAAUAAGUUACUAUGAAGAUUCAGAUUUGAUUGAAGUUGCUGUAAUUACUAUUUACUGGUCGCCGACGCCGACGCCGACGAGCCACAGCCACAGGUUCAAAUGGUCAAUGAGGGGCAAGACAUUCAAGGCCGGUGGAGUGGUUGGGCGAGUGACUCUUUUCGUGCAGUUCGUACUUCAACGGUCAGACAUUUCUCUACAACUAACCAACAAAAUCAAAGGCCACGAGAGAAGGAAAACCCAGAAAUGGAUUUUUAAACCACAAUAUUCGUAGCUCUCUUUUUCUUCAAAAAAUAUAAUUAAUCGAAUUGUUUGGUACUAAAUAAAUUAGGAUUUCAUUUCAUUCAAAAUAAAAUUAUGUUGAAUGAAUUUAUAUAUUUGAAAUGUCACAUUCUAAUUUUAAAAAUUAUUAAAUCAUGUUUAAUACACGAUUAAAAAUAGAAUUACAUUAAAAAUUUUACAUAUAUCCUGAUUAGUUUAUUAUAAUUUAAUAGAUUUUAUUGUAAUGGGGAUAUAUAUGUUAUUUUAUUGUCAUUAGUAGAAUUUUUAUGGAAAUCAUUUCGAAAUUGAAAUUGUUAUAACUAACUUCAAUCCCAUAAAAUUCAAAUUUUAGAAUUUAAAAUUUAGAAUUCAAAAUGAAUUUUUUGUAUACCAAACAUAACAAAAUUUAUUUCAAAAUGAAGUUUAUAAGUUGUUGAAAAAUUCAUUAUAUCAAUUGGAAAAUAUACGAAGCGAGUGACGUGCUUUUAAAUGUUUUACUCCGAUUUGGUGUGAAUUAGUAACAUUUGGGAGAUCGAGCAAUAAGGGAAUUUCAGUGGUGUGUUGGAUAUGGAAAGAACCACCAUUUUUUGGAAAGAUAGAUGGUUGUGAAAAUGUUAUGGAUCCGACAAUCUUUUUUUCGGAUUAAUUUGACAGCCAAUUUAUAAAUUAAAAUCAUAUUCGUCAAUUUCCAUUUGAUAGUUAGAAUUUUACUAAGGGUAAAACGGGAAUUUAAAAAAUACUCUUUCUCUUUCAACUUUUCUUUCUUUCUUCACUAUAACAUUUUUUGGAUCGAAGAUCGAACCGGUGAGGCUACUAUUUUAGGUUUUGAUGGUUCGACCGGGGUUCGACCAUUUGCUAAACCAGGUCAGAGGCAGAGGCAGAAAUUUGGUCAUGGGGUGUCUUUCGUUGUAUAAAAAAAUCAAGUAUAUAACAGAAAAGUGAACUAUUAACGAAUUAUAAAAUUGACAUCAUGAUACUAAAGAUUAGUACAAUAUAAUUACAAAAUAGUAGUUCAAAGCACAUCACUUAUAACAAAUCACGAUGCAAUUUUACAUUCUGAAAAUAUUGUAAAACACAUUCAAUUCCUUGUCCCCAAAUAUAAUUUUCUUCAUCCUUAAAUAAUAUCUCUUCAACUAAUUUUAUAUUCAAAUCCACUUUAAAAUAUAACACGGCAAAGACAAAUCAAACAACUAGUUAAUAGAAAGACCAUUCCCUUAAAACCAUAUAUUGUUGCUGACUAUUGUUGUUUAGAUUUAAAAGAUAAACAUACACAUUCAAAUACAAUUAUAUAUCAAUAUCUAAAAGUGAUUGUAAAUGUGUGGAUUCCUGAAGAGAAGGUAAGUGGUUUAAAUAUUAGUGACCCCUGUACGUAAUAAAUAAUUUUGUUUCAUCUGCCAGGGGUUACAUGCAGCCCCUAACGUCCACGUAGUUCAAUAUCAUGAUCUAAUAUAUUAAAAAUAUAAUUAUUAAAAUAUUUUUAAGAAGUUUCAAACUAUAAUUUGAAGUUUUUUAUUAUUGAGAUUUAAUAUGUACUUUAUUUAAUUUAUAGUAAGAUGUCACUUUUUUAAUGUUAAUUAGUUGUUAUAAUAUUUAUUAUUAUCAACUAAAUGCUUAACUUAAUCAAAUAAUGAUAUUCGUAGAGAUGGUUGUCAUUCACCUUUUGUUCUUUAGAGAUCAGGGUAAGAAUUUGGUUCAACCGGAAUUUCGAUCUGGGUUGAACCAGCCAAAAAACAGGGUCCAACCGUCGUCAACGCCCGAGUUUGACCAACUGCCUAAACCGUCCAAUCGAUAUCGGCUACCUCACCGGUUCAGGGUCGAACCCCGUCUCCAUCCCGGUUCGAAUAUCAAUAUUGAUACUCAUCUCUAAAUCUGUGGGUUUCGAAUACCCGUGGUAUCCUCAUCCUCACACAACCUAAUUUAAAAUUUCAGAAGUAAAACUACCAAAGUACGUUCAUUGUUUUGAUUACAAUACUAAUAAGACAUAAUGUCAUUUGAGUUCUGAUAAUGAAACAUAAUAAAAUAACCUUACAAAACACGUUCAUUGUUGCGAUUACAAUACUAAUACAUAAUACGAUUUCUUUGAAUUCUUGAAGUAACUUCAAGCCGUUGAACUUGUUAAAAUCUGAAUUGAUAAUUCACAAUCACUCCAAAUCAUCUUCAGACAUAGAGUCCGAACAAUUCAAACUUUGAUGUGGGCUAUGGACUAUUGGUUGGGCUGUAGACUAUUGGUUCUGUUUUUUUAGAGAUAGUAAUAGGUAAGGAUUCAAAUAUAAAUUUACAUAUUGGAUAGGGUUGGGUAUGGGGCGGGGUACCUAAACUCAUCCUUGAUCCGUCUCCGUUUAUUUUUUACGGGUAUUCUCUGUACUCACCCCAUAAUUCAUUUAAUACGAGUAUUCCCCACUUCCACCGAAUUGGAUAGGGUCGAAUACCCGUGGAUAUGAAUAUUAUUGCCACCCCUAUUCUGUGGUUUUUUUUUUGCGUCAUAUAUCUAAUAGGUGAUAGGUCUUAGUCAUUUUGGAUAAAGUUACAUAGCUAUUAUGAUAACUUUAAAAUUAACUACAUCUGCAUCGUAGCUUUUGUAUGGGUAUUGAGUACCGAUGGCAGCCUUUUACAAUUGAUUUUUCACGUCAAAAACAUCAUAAGAACAUAAUAAUUAGAACUGUCACAGCCAAAAUUGUUGAUAAUUGUGUAACUGUCUGUCACAGCCAAAUUAAAUCCUUGUCACACUGAAUCUACAUCAACUUCAACAGCCAGACGUUUCAACCAAAUCAACAGCAGGACGAGUUGUUCAUGGGGAUUGCAACAGAGAGAGAAGAAUCCAUUACGGUGGUUAAAGACUGCAGUCCAAAUGCGUGACUGCAAUUGCUACAACCUAGGAUGAAGAGUGCUCUAGCUCAUGCUCCUAGUGCAUCUUCUCAAAAAUCUUACAGUAACCGUGGGUCUCAUUUCAUUCUAUUCUUCCAUUGGUUCCAUUUCUUUAGCUGCGUUGAUAAUGUCAUUUGAAGGUCGUUGCUUCUUUCCUUUCGCCUUCUUUGCCUCCAAGGAACUGCAUAAUAUGUAUCUUGAUUAACAACAAAUACACCUUAGGAAUUAGAGAAUCACGCAAAUUUCUAGCACUAGGCCUAUCAAUAAAAUAUUACUUUCUCACACCUUAUGUUUUUAGUCAUGAGCAGAUCCCUCGACGCCACCCUUCCUGUGAGACUCUUGUAGUACUGAAUAAACGCAAGGUUGCCACCUGAUUUCUCCAGCUGCACCAUUAUCAACAUGACGAGCUAGGGUUAGAUUUCGCAGUGUCGUUCUAUGGUUAAGCGAAGACUCAAGAUAUAUAUAAACUACCUGAAGAAAUGACGCAGCUGCCUCCUCGUCUUUUGGUGAGAAAGCAACUUCGUCCCUCUUCUUGCGCACAAAAUCCACAUUCUGCUCCACCUGAAACGUUGGACAAUUAUAGCUCAACAACGACAUAGACUCAGAUAACGAUGUUCUGAGAGUAAAUUACCUGAUCUACAAAACGUUUCACCAUUCGGCGAAAACUCUCUAUGCUCGUCCUUUCAUGGAAUUUCUUCAAAUGGAUCAGAGGGAUAGUAGCCAACUCAGGGAAAGAUAUGUGGCACCCCCAUUGAGCAAAGUGCACAGCAAGCAAUUCAAGGGUAGAAAAAAUACACGCUUCCUGGAAGUUUCGAGAUUUCAUCCAGUGUUUUGGUAACUGCAUCGUAGUUUUAAUAAACAGGCAAAGUUAUACAACAGAGCUAAGCAACACAGGAAAUAUCUACUUAACGAAUAGUACUAAAUCAGAGAAAGCGGGUUAGGAUAUAGACAUACCAAUGGAACAAUAUAGAGACCCAAGAUGAAUUUUUUUGAUUUGUUUCAUAGCAAUAGAAACAUAAACGCAGACUAACUAACCUUAACUUCAGAUGACAAGUCGAAACUCUUUCCAGGGUUCUGAUGCUCUUUGUCAAUAUUGUAUUCCAAAAUAUCAAGUGCCAGCGAUGCAAUAGGGAUGAAUGUACCGCAGGAACUGGAGAGAUGAUUCAACCACUGAACACUUUUAACUCUCAAAGGUAAGUAUCUUGGCCCUGGAAAGAGGACUGCUACUCCAUUUAUUAUCUGAAUCAUUGUAUAAAGCAAUGGCUGGAGCUUAUAAUCGUGUGUAUUGACACAUAUAAAAUCAACCCAUAGAUCAACGCAAUUAACAUACUGCCAGCUGCAAAUCUGCUUUACCACAUCCUGUAUAAAAGCAACCAAUGAGAAGGGGAUAAGUCGAAGCAUUUCCCUGCAUAUUGCAUUUCCCGAUAAAAAAAUUCAGCACAGCACGGACAAAGAAGGAGAAAUAAGUCAUCACAAAGGGCAUGCACCUUCUGCCUAGUUCGUAAACCCAGCUGUAAACUCUUAGCAAGUUCUCUGAUUGAAAGAAUUGCCAUCUGCAUUGAUUUCUGCAUAUCUUGAGAACAUAGCUCGAUGAAGGACUUCUUAAGAAACUGAAGGUGUUCAAAAAUGGCAGGAUCUACGAAUUUGCAAUGGCCAAUAAUGGUCUUGUAUGCCUUGACGAAGCAUGUCUCAAACAAAUCCGAGUUGAACACAACAGCCACAUCUUGUAUGGCAAGGAAUGAUUGCACUGACAGAUCCCCUUUACCAGUUGCCCAAAGAUGAACUGAGAUCUGCGUUGAAAUCAAUAUCUUGAUAAGGCAAACGCUCCAACGAGCAUGAAAUAAGAUGCAUCCUAUAACUAAAGAACGAGUUCUACAUGAAUUUUGCGGAAAAUCAUCCAUCCAGCUGUUACAUCUGGCCUUUUUAAGGAGUUGAACAUACCUUAAUCAGCCUCUGCAGUAAUGAUGGAAACGCAGCAAAGAAGGCUACAAACGUCCUUAGCCGUUUCAUAAUAAAAGCUAAUAGCUCAGAGUCAGUAACUUCGUUGAGAAGAAAGAUUGUACUUCUCAAGUACAACUUAAUGAGAGGCCUCAGGGUUUUCCAUUUUGAUGUAUUUUUCAAUUCCAAAAUGACCUCCUUCUUUUGAGUGGAACUUGAAACUCCCAAAAUUUUCCGGAACACCUCAUUUGCUUCCUGAAGCACAAAUAUCAUAACAUUGCCAAGACCUUCUGUGCCUUCCAGAACACCAAAAGAUUUAGACCCAUAAUGGCUCCCCGCUCUAUAUGCAUUCAAAAUCCGUAUAAGGGAAGGCAUGUCAUGUUGCUCCUUAACAAGUUGACACAAGGAAUCAACAUCAGAACUGCUCAAGAACUUGCCAACUCCUAAUAGUGAGCCAUCUUCAUCUGUUGACUGCCUGUUAUCAUCAUCACUUUCAUCUUCACCUGAAUACUGCUGUAUUAACAAAGUGAUAAAGUUCAUACAAUAAGAAAGCAGGUACAUGCAAGAGAAGCAAUCACAUGAACAAAACGUCUUCAAGAAAUGCAUACUAAUAACGCUGUCAAGAUGCCUGAAUACACAAGAUCCGCGACAAAAUAGAGGACACAAAAUAUUCACGCCAACUGCAAUAAUCCAUGCCCCAGAUAUGUCUCUUACAUUUUCUUCUUCUGCGAUUGGAACAGUACGGCUUUCAAAACGCCCCAAGAACUUGACAAAUCCCGGAUUCUGAAACCAUGAAAAGGAAUAAUUAGCCAAAGGAAGGAAAAAAAAAUGAUACAUGGGAAUAAUAUAUACAUAUCUCCAUUCAUAUGUCGAUAUAUACAGAGAGAGGUAGAAAGAUAAAUGAGUUGUGUGGUUUGUUCACAAAGGAAACACACACAAAAUUGCAACAACUAGCAAUGGGGGAAAUCUGAUCAUACUAUUACCUUUUCUUUCAAUUUUUCCAAUUUUUUCUUCUGCUUUGCAAGCUCCAUGAAUACAAUUCUGUUCUGUCCAGAUACACCAGUAUCAUUGCUACUGUCUGCAGCAGAACAAUUGCUAAAUACUAAGACACAGUAAUGGAAUACUCUAACAACACAAACUAAAUCAAGUAUAAAUAAAAUGCUGGUAAACCCAUAACGUCUUCACCUUUUCGGUUAAUAUCCCUUUUGCCUUCAUCUAUGUCAAUACAGCCUGCAUCCUAAUCCAUUAAUCAAAUUAUAUAAAUAAGAACACUAGCAUAUGAACAAUCAAUUUUUAGAUAACUAUUAUGCGACAGAACAUUUCCAACCUCUGAUAAAUAUCCAUCACUUCCAGAAUCAUCUCCCCCCAUAUCACUUUCAUUCUCAUUGAAUAUCGCAUCAAAUGAUAUAGCUCCCACAUCCUCUACUUGAGUGUCUCUGCGAACAACAUAUAAAUCCAUUAACACAUGCUAUGCAACAAGAGAAAAAAUAGUGAACAUAAUACUUUACUGAAAGAACUUGACUAUAGCAUUUAAACUUGACGUCCUUUGCCAACCAAAUAAAAUACAUCAACAUUCUGCUCUACUACUUCGAUAUUUUUACCUUCCACUAGUCUGUGGUGGCAUUAUGUCCUCUUUUUGAUUGCCACCUCCACGCCCCCCUUCUAUAAAACAAGAAUGCUUACGAGUUUCAGGCUUGAGGGUAAUGCACCAAUGAAACGAUAACAGAUAAAACUUCACGAAAGCAGUACUGCAAUAUUUUGCAACGCAAUUCACUGAGCAGUGUUUUCAUCGUAGUUUCUUUCCCUUUCAGUUUUACCUCAUACUUAAGAAUAUGGAUCGCUCACGCACUUUUUCAUGGCAGAGUUCAGACAAAAAAUGAUUCAAAGCAUUCUAUAUAAUAUUCUUGGACAAUUCAAUCUUAAAUGAUCCUUUCAACUUCCAGGAAUCUCUGUGAUUAGGCAGCGCCUAAACUGAGAUAAUCACUGACUACUUCCAAAAAUGAGCAAUUCUGGAACCCGUGGAUCACGAGGAAAACUACAAAAUCAACUUAACUAAACCCCAGCCUACUUAUAAAUGUCAGGCAACUAUUCUGUGAAAUUAAUCCAACAAUGCAAUACGAAAGCUCAACCGAGCGCUUACUUUUCAUAGCUCUUUUCUUAUAUACGGAAUUUAUCUUCCUCUUCCUUUUCAUCACUGACUGAAGAUUCUUCUUGGCGAACUUCCUGGCAUUCUUUCCUAGCUUUCCCAUGGUUUACACAUUCACGGAAGAAGCAAAAACAACUGACAACAGCAGCAAGUCUCCCCUGAGAGAGGCGAGAGAGUUUGAGAGUGAGUUAUUAGGGUAGUCGCUUGGUUUACAGAGAGGAAAAGAGAGGCCAAAAAUUGAAAGAAAAAAGGUUAAAUACCUCUGAUUAGGGUUAGGUUACUUGACGACAUUACCCUUGCUCGCUCCUUUAUUUUCCGUUAAAAGUAGCUUCUGGCUUUUUGGUCAUUUCAACCACCCCCUCUACAUGGCUGAGUUUUCUGGUCAUUGCUGGGUGGAUCGGUUGGUUCGGUUUCACCCAAACUGACUGCUAAUUUUGGGCUCUUUAUUUUUAUUUUUAGAACUAGGAUUUUUGAAGGGGAAACUAAGAUAUGGCAGGACUCUCUAAUUGAACUCUCCGUAAUAUUUUUGUUCAGAUCCAGUGAAAUGUUAUAUAACUAGUUAUACAACUUAUGCAUUGUAACAACAUUAUAUUUUAAAAGUUACUAAUUAUAAUAAUAAUUUUUUUGACAAAAAUCAUAUCAUUUAUUUUUCUAAAUUAAUGAAUAGUAAUGUGAGGCGUAUCCAAUUUGAGGUGUAGCCGUCACCAACGAGGUUAACAUGGAUCGCGCAAUAGCAAACACCUCAAUCUUUUCUGUCCAAUAAAAAGACAAUCCAAUAAUAAUUCACCCUAAAAAUCGAAAGUAAAGACCGUAACAAUCAUCAACAACACCAACACAAACCAAAAAAAAAGAAAAAGAAAAAGUUGAAGUUAGAAAUAGAACUAAAAAACUAAAGAAAUCUAAUAAACUUGGAUGUGAUUAGCAAUAUCCCUAUUUGAAAUGUUAAAGGAGACUAGGAUCUUAAUCGCUACAACUCUCAGGUUCAGUGAACCGGACAGAUCGCCCUUGGCUGACCGGCUGAUGACGCAUGGAUAAUAUCCUUGGAAGAGGGUAGGGAUGCAUCAACGGUGGUGGUAAGUGGCAUAACAGCAACAACGAUGGCGACGUUGGCGGUGCUGGAGAUGUUGGCGGUGAUGGCGAUGUUGGCGGUGCUGGAGACGUUGGUGACGAUGGCGACAUUGACGACUAUGGAUUGUGGUGUGGGGUGGGGAUGGUUGCAGCCAUGAUAUUGGUAGUGAAGUUGGUGGUGAUGAAGGUAGUGUUGUCGGUGUUGGAAGCAAAAGGCUAUGGGACGGCCAAGGUGGUUGUGGUGAAUACGGGGCGAUGAUUAGUGUUUCAGGAAGGAGGAAGGGUUCUUUCUUAAGAGAGGCAAUAAGGCAACUUCUCUCCUAUAAAAAGCAACUUUUAACCAAAAUUUAAGAUGAAAUCGAAAAAACGAAGAAAGUCGAAGAAAUUAAAAACGACUGCAGCGACUAAAGUUUGACUCUCAUUGAGAGCUUUUCUUUUUACCAAAAGCAGAAAUCAAAUCUGCUAUACCAUGUGUUGUUAGUGUUAUAUUUGAAAAUAGCCAUAAUAACUAGUUACAACAACUAGGCUGAAUAUAUAACUAGCUUGUGUAAUUAAUUAUUUCAUAUUUUUUCGAACCCUCAUAUAGCCCUCUCAGCUUUUUUUUUUAGACCUCAAACAUGGAAAUGUUUGAUUUAAAUUCUAGCAUGUAAAUUCUAGCCGUAUGAAGAAGUGUCUCUUAUAGCGAAUUAGUGUGUGCUUCGGAUACGUGGACAACUGGACUGUCGCAAGCUGUGGCCGAGUUAUGGAACUAUAUAUUAUUGCUGAGUUAAAUGUUAUCUUUAUAUAUCGAGAAGGUAAUUACAAGAUUGAUUAUAUAGUGAGUUAGUGCUCGCGCAACUUAUAUGCUCAUAUGUCGCAUAACUAUGUACUGAAAUUAUGCCAUCAUAUGAAGAUUAGACGCGCUUGAUUCGGGGUUGAAGAAAUUUGUAAACGUAUAUCAAGUUUUUAAAAUAUGAUACAUAGCUCUAACGACGUUACGUUGAUCAUCCACCCAUUUUAAUGAGACAACUUUAAUAGUAAGCACUAGUAGUUCUAAUUAGGACGUCGGCAGCGUUCCAAAUCCCCGUCUUAUUUGGGAAACAAGACUGUGAUGCGAGUGGGAUACGACUGUAAAGCAAUGCAAUCUAUAGACAGGACAGAAGUCCAAUUACAAAAGCGUAAAGCUACUUUCUUUAUAAUUUUAGUUGUUUAGUAUGAAAUCAACCAAAAAAGAGUGUACAGUUUGUUUUCACCUUUUGUCCCGUACAAUAUAAUGGAGUGUAUCAGAACUCAGUCAUUUCGGAUCGCCGACCUAUAUUAAUAAUUCCACUUGAUCAAAAAUUAAUCGCACUCUUAACGAAUUAAGAAAUUUUAAUUCAUAAAUAAAGUAACAAAUUGUUAAAGAGUCCGACACACAUGUGUAGAUUUGAAUAAUAGAUAGCCAUACCAUAGAUAUUGAUAUGGGAAAAUUAUAUAUAUAUACUUUUUGGUACAUCCGGUGCAUUGGGUGCACCUAUUUUUUUGUCUAAUCUAAGCCGCCCGAAUUUUAAUUUUUUUAAUAUUUAAAAAUAAUAAAAUAAUUUGGCUGUCGCGUGCUUCUUUCUUUCUUUUUUCAGCUCUCUUGCCAAUCUAAGCUCACUUAAGGGUGAUCACGGAAUUAACAGUUGAAGAGAAGCUAGAUGUGAUGAGAUUGAAGUUGACUGGACUCCUUCGCGGAAGAUAUUCUCCGAGAAUCCCCAUUCCAGAUUUUAUUUCGAUCUCUGAAUUCGGAUAUACGGCCUCCUUGGUGCUGAAAAAGUACCUAUCUUGCUCCAAAUCACCUGGUAAAUUUCAAGAAUUGGACUUGAAGACAUCGACUUCGAGAAUGAUGGAAGCGGGGAAAAGAAAGGAAUAUACUUUCCGUUUGAGGUAUUGAACCACGAGCUUUUCGCCUGUUGGGUGGAAUCUGAAGCCAGGUGACAGUCUCUACAUUUUAUUUUUGACAAAGCUCAUCUUCUCCAUUUAAACGAACACAAAAUAAGGAAGAAAAAAGAGAGGCAAAAAAGAGAAGAGGUUUGAGAUAGGGAGAGGUGAAACGUCAUCAUUGAUGGUUGAGAUGUCAAGUUCCUCUGUUUAUUUUCAUUUGAUAAUCUUUUUUACUGUUUGUAUUACUUAGUUAUGAGGGAAUUACUUAGUUUGAAGAACAUUAAUAAUUAUUUCAAAGAUGGUUUUAUAAAUUUAACAUUGACACUUUUGAAAGUUCAGUUAAAUUUAUAAACAAGAUUUUGAAUUUUGAAAAACUAGCUUAAUCUUCAUUUGGUUGAAACAACUAACGAAAUUUAAUGGUUGAUAGUGUUGUAAGUUUACGACUACUGCUAAUUUUUACUGUUUGUGUAAUUUAUAUUUGAGAGUUCGAAAGUUUCAAUCUCUGAACUGUGCUGUAUGCAAGUACACUGAACUUCGUUUGAGAGAAUAGACCGAGUAAAAAGAAUUUAAACAAAAUAUUGAAUCAAAAAAUUACAUCGAUGAUGGUGUUAGUUUGUUGAUAUACAAAAAUAAACAUAAAUUUUAGAUGAUGUUUUGGGUAUUAAGAAGAUGUUAAGAUGAUUUAAAUCAAAUUCGCCAAGGCAAUUCCUUAUUUGACAACAAUAAAAAGAUCUAUCAAUUGUUGUAUUUUAAGUAAAGUGAUUUUUUUUGUAAAUUAUUCUUUUUAUUUUUGAAAAUUAAAAAAUAUAAAAAUCGGCAACCCAAAUUAAGCCUCAAAACGCGAUACAUUCGAUACAUCAUGUACCGAAAAGUUUUUCAUAUAUAUAUAAGAAAAAAAGAAAACAAAGGGAAUCAAUGAUCACUGAAAGAAUUUUGCCGUCAGGGCGCUUUCUUCUUCCUUUGAAGACCUCGGCACCCAUCGGGUCUCACCCUCCUCCAAUGCCCCGUCCACGUGGGAAGCCCCAGUGGCUCUUCGCCUCAAAAUUAAUAUGGACCGUGCGGUCUUUCUGGGAUCGGGCGGGUCAACAUGUUGAGUUCUCCGGGUCUUUAACAGUGCUGGCGUGUUGUUCUCCAUGCGGUUGGCACUACGUACCAAAGUUUUACUGAGCCAUUUUUUAUGAAGUUUUUAGCAGUCCGCGAUGUCCGUUUAUAAUGUACCCAAGUAGGAUUUUUUUUUCCAGGUGAAUAUAGGAGGCGACGCAGAAGUAGUGAUGACUUACGUCAAUGCCAACCACUACAGUUUAUCAAACGACGGCUCUAUCAUCCACGAGAUUCAGUACCUCCUUGCAUCUAUGUUGGAGAUUGUUCUUGAGAUUGUUCGGAGGUCAGAUAACAAAGCCAACCUAUUACGUGACACGCAAAAUUCUUAAAUAUCACACUGAAGUAUAAGACAAACGAUAACAAAUAUCCAAAGGAAAAAAGAAAUAGGAAUACAAUAACAAACAAACCUGGUAGCAGAUAUCAAGAUAUAAGACAAACGCGGUGGAUGGAAUUCACCGAGCUUGUUCCACGUAAAUAUAAUAUUAUUACUGUACGUACGGACGGGCGGACGUGUAUUGAUGAGGAGCAGAGCUAGGUAGCAUUGAAGUUGCCAAAUGGGAGAACAUAGAGAGGUCUGAAAUGAGAACAAGUGAGCGCAAUGUAGCCAAGAACAACUUGCCGACGAUGGAGCUGACAACCGGAGCUAGCCGUCCGGCAAGUCAUCCUUGGCUGAACCACGCUCUCUCCGUCUUCAUCUCAGGCCUAUGUUCUACUUCGCAAAAUCAUAUAUCCAGACAUCGAUCUGUGAAUAAUUGGUGUACAAGUAGGCUAGCUAUAGCUACUUUAUAGAAAGGGGAAAAGGGGCAGAUGGUGCCAAGUAGGACACAGUGGCCAAAUAGGCAGCCCAAGGGUCGGUUCACUUUUAAGGAAAAUGAGGUGGUGGUGGUGGUGGUGGUGGUGGUGGGGGUUGGGGGGGUCGGAUCUAAGAUUUCAAAAGCACCGCGCACUAGCAAGCCAACUGUAGUACAAGAUACAGUACAUACAUAUAUAUAUAAUAUAAAUGAUGGCAUGGUUAGCUAUGGACAAAUUGCCAAUUGCCAAAUGAAUUCAAAAAAUACAACACAGCUAGCAAAGCAGAUAGGACUCACCUCCACCGUCACGCAGCUUUACUUGAUUGUUUACUUUUCCUCACGUACUGGGUUUGCAGCAAUCUCCGUACGUAGUGAUGAUAUUUAUCGUCAAAUUAAAUAUCACCACUCCGACGCGGCGCCGCCUGUUUUUAGACGACAUUAGAUAUAUUCCUUGUUCCCCCCACCCCCCACGCACUUAGUGUUACCCUGCCUUUGGAGGCAUCACGUGUUUCUCUUUUUAACCAUACAAUUAUUUUCCCACAUCUGGUCUCUUGGGUUUAUAUAUAUUGGAAAUACCAGAAAAACGUAAAAUAAUAUAACUUGUUUUAACCGCUUCACUUGUUUGCAUGCGGCAUCUACUAAGAUGGUUUGAAUCAACCCAAGGUACGAUGAUUUUGAAUUAGUGACUUGUUAUAGCAGGUGUAGUAGGUUAUAUUAUGUAAGAAAUUAAUGUCGUUACGUAAGAUUUACGUAAUGGCCUUUCCUCUUACGUAACAGGCUUAAUUUUUCCUGUUACGUAAACUUUACGUAACAGCCUUUACUCCUACUCAAUAAGCAAAAUGAAGCCUACUACGUAAGGAACAACUGCUGUUACGUAAGCCUUACGUAACGGCCUUUACUCUUAGUUAACAUACAAAAUUAAACAUGUUACAUAAGGAUAACUGUCGUUAUGUAAGUCUUACAUAACGACCUUUAGCCUUAAGUAACGAGUUUUUGGGAUGAAUUUUAUAUAAAAGUAAAAUGAUUAAAUAUUAUUUAAUUUCCUAUGAUAAAUACUAUUUUAUUUUUAAAAAUUGAACAUAAAAAAGUAGGUUUGGUAAUGGGUCGGACACGGGCCGGAUAUCUCCUAUUUGUUGCUCGUAAAUUUUGCCCACGGGUUUUACCCAUCACCGACCCAUUAAACUUAAUGAAAAAAAAUUUGAAAUCAAGCCCAUAUUAUUGUGGAUUCAGGUUUUGCCCGAAAACUAAUAAAAACUAAAAAAAAAUAGAAUCUGAAACAUCAAAGUCAGAAACUCAAACAUGAUAAAACCAUAAGCCGACAACCCAAAACUUGGGAAGAUCUUUCCAAAUAGAAUAACAAGAAUUAAAAUCCAGAAACCUGAAUAUAUCAUCCAUAUCCCAUAAACAUGUGUGUCUCUCAGCAACCAAUAAAAAACACAACAAUGCAGAAAUAACAAAUGAAGAUCCAGAAAAGACAAUAUGUGGUAGUUCAACAUUGAAAUAUCCAACAAAGUACUAAUGAAAAUCAGAAAUUUGAGCCAUUCUGCAUGAGAAAUCAUCCAACAGUAGCAUUCAUCAUUCAUCAAACUCAACCAAAAGAUAAUAUCUGCAAAAUAAUCAUUAUUGCAUUACGUAUUAGUCCAACAUAGAUCUAUAAAUGAAACAACGUAACCAUCGACUAUUCUGAGUUAGAAUACAAACCUUGAACUAAUCAUCAAGGUUUGUAACAGCUACAACGUCAUCUAUAUCUCCUCGCACUUGCUGGUUUGUACCUUCUACAUCUGCUAUAUCAAUGUUUCUAUUAGUGUCAAAAGUGUAUAAAAAUCAAUACAAAUUGUAAAAAAACAACCAAAGUAAUGAAGAAGCUUACCAGAUUCGUCUUCCAUAGUCGAAUCCUUCAUUGUCAUUGUUGAGAACACGUCUUCGAACUGUUUCAUUUAUGCUUCAGCUAGAACUACAAGGAAGAAUGGAAAUCAGAACAGAAAUUAAAAACAACUUCCAAUAACAGAGUUAUUACGUAAUUAACAAAAAAUUUACCUGCAUGCAUAUAGCUUUGUAUCCAGCUCCUGCAACACAUCAUUGCCUCGAACGUUGAAGGUUGUAGCCUACUCCGAUGGGGAUCAAGAAGCCUCCCAAUGGAACCAAAGUCAGAUUUCGAUGCAACAGACGCCACUGGUAUGGUUAGUAAAUCCCUUGCAAUGCAUUGCAAAAUGGGAUACUUCGCACCACCAUUUUUCCACCACCCAAGCAAAUCAAAUUUAGGUGUCAUAGGAUGUAAUUCCUUAGCUAGAUAGUGAUCCGAUUCAUUGGUUAAUAAAGAAGGUCGGGAUUUCUUUCUUUGGCUUACAAACCGAUCAAAAUCCAUAUCGAUUGCAGAAGAUUAACUGAAUUGCUUGAAGAACCAAUAUUUUUAGCUGAUUUUCGUUGGUACGCAAGCACCAAAUCAGAAACAACAAAUUUCACCAUUUCACCUACCAGAUCAGUAUUAGAACUCCCAAAUUUCACAACAUAAAAUUCACACACCAACAUAAAUAUCAUAUCCAAGAUAGUAGCAAUAGCCAAUAGUAAGUGAAUGUCAUCCCAAUACUUAGCAAACUUAUUUAAUAUUUUCUCAGCCAUCAAAACAAUUAUCGGAUCAGAAUCAAUCAACCAUUCUAUCAUGCUCAAUCUCAAUUUACAGACUUCAGAGAAAAACUAAUUAACAAUAGGGUAUUUAAAAUCAGACAGAACCUUUGUAAUCUCUUUGAAAACAAAAAGUGUAUGAGUUUGUUAUAGGGUAUAGUUUGUUGUUCUGAUAAAGAAGAAGCAAAUUUGAGAGAGAGACAUAUGAGUUUUGAUGGCUUGUGGUUUUGAUGCAAGUAUCGGUUGAUGGUGAACUGCUAUGCCUAUACCAUUUCCUAGCUAGUUUCCUUAUUGUUUGGACAUGUUGGUUUUGGAUUUUUUAACAAGUGUGGUUACCAUCUGUGCUCUGAACAGAAUGCCUGAUAUGACAGCAUAACAUUCUUAAAGCUGUGGAUUACUAGUCUACUUUCUGCAGUGAGUGACUUAUAUUUUUCAGUUCAUACGUGCUUAGGAGACAAUGAGUUGGAUAAUUUACUAUCAAUUGCGAGUACCAAAUAGCAGAUGUUUGAUUCGAUUGUUAUUCGAAACAUGUUCGUUUUUGAUAUUAUAUUUUCCUUUUCAUGUAAACUCUUUAAAGAGUGACGAAUUGGACACAACAUUGGUCUAUUAUUUGGAUUUGUUUCUAUAUAAGCUGCUGUGAUUAGAAGUGAGCAGUUAAGUUAUAAAUUUGGUUAUGUAUUAGUCAUUGAUGUGAUCAAGUCUUGCUUUGUACUGGAUAGGAAUUAUUACCUUGCUUUGUACUGGAUAAUAAUAUAUCACUUGCAAUUAUUUUCUUAGUACUAAAUAUAUGAGGCGAUUAAUUAUCGAUAAUUUGGAGAAUCUGCCCGGAUUGACUUAUCACCGGGUAAUUAGGAGUUGUGAUAUCUCCUCUGCUAUUGUGCAUCAAUGUGAAAUUUUCAGAUUUGCACCAAAUGAAUCAAUGUCAAUUUUCAGAUUUGACUUCAGCUUAUUCAUUUUCAAGUUAUUGAAGCUGGUACAUUCUUCUCUCAUGACAAAAAUGCUAGAGAUAUGCAAGUUUUUUAUAGACUGAAGGGUAACGAUGAACGCCUCUAAUUCAUUUUCAAAUUGUUGGACGCAAUCAGUAGAAAUGAGUAGUCAAUACUUGAAGCAGUGAGUUCGUAGACAGGGUAACAUGACUACGAAGCUGGUAUUUUGAAGGACGAACUGCAUUAUUGUCUGAAUAUUAUCAACUAGGUUUAAAUUUCUGUUUUCGUAUGGAUAUUGUCUUGGGUUAAACAUGACAUGUCCAAGAAUGAUUGCAACAUCGGCAAAUUUAUUUGUCUUCAAAAAUGAUUGCAGCGGCGGCAAAUUACAUUCUGAACAAAGAAUGGGCAUGAGGGCAAUUUAGUCUUUUUAAAAAUAAAUUUAUUUAACAUUUAUUCUCUGAAAAAUAAAACCAUCCUAUUUUUUUAAAAAUCAAACAAAAAAUUUGUGAAAUCACUAAAAAUUUGAAAUUCUAAAUUCAAACAAGAUGUAAAUAGAUUCCUGAGUCAUGACUUCCCUACUGGGUCUGGAAUCUGGAUCUGAGAUUAGUCAAACUUUCAACUCAAUGACCGAGAUUAAUAUCUAUAAUUCUCUAAUUUCAAAAUUGUCAAUAUUAUAAAUAUCGAUACACAAUUAAUCAAAUUGUUUAUAAAUUCAAAUAUUCCGCGUUACCAUUUUUUAUAUAAUUAUAUAAGGAAAGAAUCGGCGAAAAGUAUUAUUUUUUUAUUUGCCACAUCAGACUUCUAGUUCGAAAGGUCAGCCACAUAGCCAGGUGGUUGUUAUAUCAUCUCCACCGGCAUAGUCCUCUCCCGCAGCUGAAUUCAUACCUCACAGUCAGCGUUACGUCGUACCAUCUUUCCCUCGACGGAAUUCCCAAAGUCCGUGAUCGAUGGAUACCAGUUAAGGAUUUCAUCGCACAAAUUUGAGACUUCAACUCACCGUCAGGGAACUGUGAGAUUAGUAGGAAAUCUGGUUUUGGAUUCCAAGAGUUGUUGGUGACUGCUUGAUCGACGUCACCCGGAGAUUCGUUCGAAGCGCGUCUUGGUUGCACGAACACACCCAGAGAUUCUCCAGGUGAGCGAGCAGCUUUGAUCGAAAUCCAGAAAUUUCCUGAUUUCAUGAAUUCUUUACAAGGAAGACAAAUUCAGGUGCAAUUUUUUUGCCGGGAAUUUAGGGACGAUUCGUUAGGUUGUUAUUUUGCGAUCGCAGCGGAGAAAUGAGCUUCUUUUUUGCUUUAAACUUCGGGCUCGUAAAAAAAUGUAUCGUCUGACGCGAUGUUCCUUUGCUGUUUUCUGUGUCGGUUCACCGAGGUUUCCUUCCCCUUUCCUUUUUGUGCUUCUUUGACAUUUCUUAUGUAUUUUUGGUCCAAGCCAACUGCUCUUCACACCUCACUGUUAUGCUCGUCCAACAUAUUCUAGCCUUUGAUUUCUGACAUUUAGAUUACAUAUUCGUCUUCGGGAUAGAAUCGUCAAAGUUGGACUGGAUCAGUUAGUGGACUGAAAUUUCUCACUUUUCCUGCCUUCCUGGUUACCCUUGUGGUGGAGUCUUAAAGUAAGCAAAUGUAAUAUUUGGAAUGACGUGAGGUUGAGUGAACAUUAGUGGUUCUAGGUUCGUGACUGACUGUAAAUGGGUUCAAAUUUGUGGCUCGUUGGAGCUAUGAUGAUACAACAACUUCCAAGGGCAGUAUUUGUGAAAAUUCUGAUCUUUCUGUUUUGUUUGUUAUAUGUUCUCAGCAAACUCUCCAGUUUCCAAUUGUUGUUGGUUGAAAAUGGUGACCCGAAGGAGAUGGGGUAAUCUUUACAGAAGGCGUAUGAGAGUGUUUUCACUUGCUGUAGUGAUUUACCUUGAUUAUAAGGUAUUCUUGAAUUCUGUUGCUGCAUCAAUCUGAUAUUGGUAACGAGUUUCUUAAGAGUACUGGCACCCGAGUAUUGCAGGCUUUACAGCAAAGAGAGAAAUGGAUUAGCCCUUCUAAAAGAGCUACUCUGUGGGAGAAGGCUCAUGAGCGAAAUGCUAGGCGUGUUCUUAAUGUGAUGAUUGAAUUGGAAGGUUUGUGGGUGAAACUUGGGCAGUAUUUGUCCACUCGUGCUGAUGUGCUUCCUCGUGCUUACAUAUCGCUACUCAGGCAGUUACAAGAUGCUCUUCCUCCUCGUCCUUUGCAAGAGGUUUAGUUUCUUCCCUAACUUGUGAAAAUGCUUGCUCUCCCCUAUCUAUACUACCUUAAGAAUAUACAAUAGCAAUAAACAACUUAAAGUCUAUAUCUUGCAUCUGAUACAAGCAUAAUAAACUGAAGAAUCAUUGACUGAUAAAGCAAUGUGAUUUCAUGAUGAUGUCGAUUGAGCUGCUUUGACUUGAUGAAGAAUGGUGGUGGCUUAUGUGUUACCAAGACUUUUGUAAUGUCUUCAUCAUCAUUGCCGUGCGCUAUUUUUUCUGGGAAUGAGUCCAUAUCAUUGCAAGGCAGUGUCUUGGAUGGAUAUUUUUAUCCUGGUGAUGUAACGAGUCAUUGAUCACAUCUUUGUUGGUCAUCAUUGGAGUGCCUGCAAACUUCAAUACCUAAAUAUUCUGUUUUGGUCUUUAUCCGCACAUGUGAACUGAUGUUCUUGAUGGAGUUGGUGAUCUUUAUGCAUUGCUAAUAGUUCCCUAACCGAGUACUUCCAACUGUGCAGAUUCGUGCAACAAUAAAAAAGGAGUUGGGGUACACCGUCGAUGAUCUCUUCUCUUAUUUUGAUGACGUUCCUCUAGCAACUGCAUCGGUGAGAUAUCUGGACUACUUUAUGGCACUGAUGAUUAGUUUACUGUUUCUAUAUAUGUGAGUAGCAAAUGCUGUUUGAACUACCUUAUUCAUUAAGAUAAAACAUAGCAACUGAUAUUUAUCCUAACACAGAUUGCACAAGUCCACCGUGCAACUUUACUUGAUGGGCGAGAAGUUGUUGUAAAAGUUCAGCAUGAGGGCAUCAAGACAAUCAUACUAGAGGUUGGGCUCUUUCGCUUCGCUGCAUAACUUGAUGCAUAAUGAGGUAGAUGGAUCAAUGAUUACCUUAAAUGUAUUUGGCAGGAUUUAAAAAAUGCCAAGGCAAUUAUUGACUGGAUAGCAUGGGCAGAGCCACAAUACAAUUUCAACCCCAUGAUUGAUGAAUGGUGCAAAGAAGCUCCAAAAGAACUUGACUUUAAUCGUGAAGCUGGUGUGUUUUCGCUAUUUGUUGUGUUUUAUUGUUGACACAUAUUUGAUUCAUCAACAUCCUUAUAUAUAAGUUUGACAUAUGUUUUGGUUUUUAGAGAACACUAGAACUGUCGCUAAAAAUCUGGGAUGCAAGAACAAGGAUGGGAACAACACAGAUGGGAAUAAAGUUGAUGUUUUGAUCCCAGAAGUGAUCCAGGUAAUAUCUUUGUUGUUAUCUGAUGGAUGGACCUAGUUGCAUGUUGUAGUCAUUUCUUGAGGUUAAACGUGAGGUUUUCGAAUAUCGAGUUAACUUGUCUUUUACUUUGCGGAGUUUGUGUUGGUAGAUGCCAAUGGUUAGAACUGAGCUAUCCGUAAUUAUUUCUCCCGUGCUAUAUUACAUGGUGAAUUUGGUUAUCUCUUUGCUUAAGUUGAUGACUAUUUACUUCUUUCUGUAAAACAAUUAAUUGUACGGAUCUUGAUGUUAAACCUAGCUUUCUAGGAUUAUAAUGUAGUGAUGGAAAUGGGGAGGCUUGGGAUAUGUAUAGUGUAACUGUACCAUUACCAGGCGGGUAUAAACUUAUACUUAAACCAAAUACCCGAGGUACACACGUGUGGGUGUAUACUUGCAGGUAAUACCUAACGCCUAAAAUCUUCUGCUAAAACUAAAAAAUUCGCAUCUGGAUACAAAACUACCAUAACCAUACACUUAAGAAUACAACACUUUUAUAAUCAUCCAUAAAAUAUCACCAUAGUUAUCCAUCAAACUUCAUUUAUAACAUCACUUCUAUUCUUAACAUCCAUAGCAUGGAUCAUCAAGCACCUUAAUUAUCUUUCAAACAUCAUUCAUCAUCAGUUGCGAUAAGGUUAAACAUCAUAAAACAUCGUUUUAGUGUGGGGACAGGGUGGAAAAUGGUCAUGCUCAUUCCGCACACAACACUGUUUUUCCGCUAAUUGAGUGGGUGUGGCCUGUUGGGCACGUGUGGUUUGAAGUUAGAGUGUUAUGCUUAACCCUGGUGACUCUUGGCUCUUCGUUCUGUUAUUAAGCGGUCCUUGGUUCCUAGAUUGUCUGUUGUAUUUAGUUCUCUUUUUCAUUUUUCUUGCUCAUCGGCAGGCUGCUGAAAAGGUCCUAAUCCUAGAGUACAUGGAUGGGAUUCGUUUAAAUGACCGUGAAGCCUUGGAAGCUGCUGGUGUUGACAAACAAAGGAUUGUUGAAGAAAUUACACGUGCCUAUGCUCAUCAAAUAUAUGUCGAUGGAUUGUUCAAUGGUGAUCCCCAUCCCGGUACUCUCCUCUCUCUCUCUCAUGCGCAGAGGUGUUGUCAGUUGGGUUGUUGGUAAACAUAAAUUACAAGCUUUCUAAUAUUGGAUUAUUUUACUCGUCUAUGAUCAGGAAAUUUCCUGGUAAGCAAGGAAGCUCCUCAUCGUCCAAUUUUGCUCGACUUUGGGCUUACAAAGGAAUUAUCAGCUUCCCUGAAACAAGCACUGGCUAAGAUGUUUCUUGCAUCAGUUGAGGUGUUAUUGAAUUCCCUCAAUCUUGGUCUCUUCCCCUCACCUUCACACUUCUCUGGAGUGUUUCUUUCAAUUUAUUAUUACUUCGCUGUAAUCGCUAUUCAAUUUCCCGUGUUGCAGGGUGACCAUGUUGCUCUUUUGUCUGCUUUCUCGGAAAUGGGUCUUAAGCUUCGGUUGGACAUGCCAGAGCAAGCAAUGGAGGUGACUAAUGUAUUCUUCCGUACCGCAACUCCAGCUACGGAUCCUGUUGUAAGCAUCCUGUUCCCUGUUUCAUUUCUAGUUUGAAAAUUGUCUGUGCUUGUUUGUGACGUUUCUUUUGUUUAGGAAAACAUGAAAACUUUGUCUGAGCAAAGAUCAAAAAACAUGAAGGUGAUCCAAGAAAGGAUGAAGCUCAACCAAAAGGAUGUUAAAAGAUUUAAUCCAGUAAGUUCAUUAACAUCUAAUCCUACCGGAUAGUUGACUCAUUGUUCCAUCAGUUAACAGUUGUAAUUUCAGAUUGAUGCAUUUCCUGGCGACAUUGUCAUAUUCGGCCGGGUGCUUAAUCUUCUAAGAGGUGUGAUAGAAAUUCUACCAGUCUUUACCUUCUGAUUCGGAACUGUAGCUUCUGCUAGUAAUUGUGUGUUUUCAAGCAGGACUUUCUUCCACAUUGAAUGUUCGUAUUGUAUAUCAGGAGAUCAUGAGACCAUUUGCUGAAUCUGUGCUCCAGGGGUCAGUUUGUCACAGCGCAACUUCCUUUUCUUUUCUGAAAUUAUUCUUUCCAAUUUUUUUGAAUUGUUAUCUCAAUUAUUAGAUAUAUACACAAGGCACCAGCAUCGAAUAUCCAGUGGAUAUAUGACACACCUGUCCAUUCUAAUGUGGAAGCCAAGUUGAGGCGGCUCUUAGUUGAGCUUGGAAACCAAGAGAAGAUACUCGGAGUCCAGGUCUGUACAAAUAUGAAGCUCCUCCAUAACUUCCACUAGCUAUGCGUUGUUAGUUAACCUAUCUGCAUAUUUCACCGGAAUGGUUUACAGUAUGUUGACUGUUUUAAGAGAGUUAUUUCCUUUAUGGGAUAUAUGGCUUUUGUUGAUAAGUAUUUCUGUGUCUCAAGGUUUGUGCUUAUAAAGAAGGGAAGGUUAUUAUUGACACUGCUGCUGGAGUUCUCGGGAGAUAUGAUCCUCGCCCAGUUCAACUAGAUAGCCUCUUCCCAGUUUUCUCCGCAACAAAGGGUGUCACAGCUGGUUUAUUGCAUUGGCUCGUAGACAAUGAGUAUGUGUUCUGAUCAGUGGAAAUCAAUCAGCAUUACCAGUUGAAUGUCCGUGAUUCUUAUGAAGUAUUAUUUACUGUAGGAAACUCAAGCUUGAUGACAAUGUUGUCAACAUCUGGCCAGAAUUCGGAACUAAUGGAAAAGAUCUUAUCAAGGUGAAAAAACUUCAAGAACCUGUUUGCUUUUGUGGUUUUUUUAUUUGGAGUUCUUUGCAACAUUUCACUCAUCUUCGGUGAUUUCCUUUAGGUCAAUCACGUUCUUAACCAUACAUCCGGCUUGCAUAAUGCCCUGGCCAAUCUCAGUGGAGGAAAUCCUUUAUUAAUGUGCGACUGGAAAGAAUGUCUUAAUCAAAUUGCUCUGGCUGAACCAGAGACAGAACCUGGUCGGGAACAGUUGUAUCAUUAUCUAUCAUAUGGCUGGCUGUGCGGUGGGAUUAUCGAGGUACUGUCUGAUAUGAUCUGAACAAAACCAAAUAUGUCAACAUCGAAUGAGAUUCCCUAUAUGCGGAGUUUAUAAAUGGCCUCCAUACUAAAUGAUGCUGUUAUCUGUCUUGCAAUUUCUAGAGGCAAUUGAUUAUUUGUGACUGCAUUGCUUGGUCCUUUACAUCUUUGCUUUAUGUUGGUUGAUGUGCUCUGAGCGAACAAUUUGAUGUGUUUGUGGGCUUUUCCAGUUUCAUUUACAUUCUUUUUUGCCUACUGUUACAGUCUAAUUUAUUUGUGUGAUAUGCGAAUAAGUAGAGAUAAAUUUGUUUUAUAUUAUAUUUGUAUAGAUGCAAAACAUGUGUCUUCUGUGCUACUGAAUUUGCUGCAAGAUUCAAUAUACCUGCUAGUGCUGCUUGGUUACCAACUUUAACAGUGUUGUUAAUGGAACAGAAUUCAUCCCAGAAGAAUUUCCAGGAGAUCCUGGAAGAAGCAAUUGUUAAACCCCUCAAUAUUGACGGCGAGUUAUAUGUUGGAAUACCUCCUGGUAGGUUGUUUGAUCUUGUUGCUUUGGAUGCCUGUUGUUGAGACCAGAAUGUUAGCCAUUUAUUUUAACUAAGUUGCACAUUCAAAGAUGGUAAAGAACUUAAUUGAUUUCUUAAUUUUGACAGGUGUGGAAUCCAGACUUGCUAGCCUCACACUAGACACAAAUGACCUAAGCAAACUGGGACAGACUACCAACCGCCCCGAUCUUCCCUCCACAUUCCAACCAGAUAGGGUUGGUACUCUAUUGACUACACUUCCUGCACUGUUCAACAUGCUGAUUACUCGGCGUGCAAUCAUCCCUGCCGCUAAUGGGCAUUGCUCAGCUCGUGCUCUUGCACGAUACUAUGCAACCCUUGUUGACGGCGGGGUCAUACCACCUCCGCAUUCUUCCUCUUCCAAGCCACCUCUCGGUAGCCACCCGCACACCCCCAAACUUGCGACGCUGAACCACCCUAAGCAGAAAGCAAAGAAACGCAGGGAAGUGGUUGCUCCUUCAAACAAGAAACAGGAUGAUGAUGAUGACGACGACAAUUGCAGCGAUGAUGAAAACAAAGAAGGCGACAGCAGCAGAAACACUAACGGCCAUACUUACUCAAAGCUGGCUAAUGAUGAGAGUACAUCUCGCACCGAGUUGCGUGAAAGUGGGAGGACUCGAGUGUAUACUAACCCUAGGAUUCAUGAAGCAUUCAUGGGCACCGGGGAGGAGUACGGUGGAUUGGCCUUGCCCAAUGGAGUAUUUGGGUUAGGUUUUAGGAGGUUGAGAUCCAAUGGGAGCAUUGUUGGGUUUGGACACAGUGGGAUGGGUGGGUCAACUGGCUUUUGCUUCCCUAAGGAAAGGUUUGCAAUAGCGGUGACAGUGAAUAAGAUGUCGUUAGGGUAUGGGACUAGGAGAAUCAUGCAGUUGGUGUGUUCAGAAUUGAAUAUGCCAUUGCCAGAAGAGUUCUCGCUGCCGAUUGGUGGUGGUGGUGAGAUUGAGUCCGGCAAAGGGGCGCCUCUAAUUAACUGAGCACUCUAUGUAUACAUUACUAAUAACAUGAUACUACAUGUUUUAGACUUUUUAGAACGAUGAACCACUUGUGUCUCAUAAGUGCACAUUGCAUGAGAACUAUACAGAUGAUGACUUUUGAGCAUCUUACACGAAUAAAUUCAAUAGCAUUUUGCUGUGUUGAAAUAAGUUUACUUCCCUGCCUCAUAAGUGUACAUGGCAUGAGCCCCUCUUGCACCGUACGAAUCCUCACUUCGUAGUGCUCCACGAAGCCCACAGGUCUUCGUAGGAAGCAGCAAGUAGACUGAGCACAACAGUAAAAAUUCUUUGGGGUUCGCAACUUUGGAGGCAUGAGGCAUCGCAUACUGGCAUUCGGCUCGUGACAGAGUAUUAUUACGCAACAAGUGCGGUUACCCUGGCAGAUAGCAAACUUCAAGAUGCAGAGUUAGAGCGCAAAGCUUACCUCCUCAUUAAUCUUCAAAAGGCCGGCUAAUGAUAUUCAGGGUAGUGUUCAAUGGAACUGUGAAACUUUCAGUGGAAGACUUUGGACUGGAAGUGGAACUCACCAAGUAAGGAAAGGAAGUAGUCGAAGCCUCGAAAUAGGAUUAUAGAAGGACUAUGAAGGUGGGCAAAUAGAUAAACAGUGGGCUUGUUUGUGGGGAGUGAGAUGUACUGCUUAGCAAUGCUUUAUCAUAUCUGGCUAGCAGUUCAUAGGAAAAUGAUUACUAAUGUGCAGGUUUCUCAUUGGGGGGGUUGACAGUAGAUGUCUCUUGCUUGCUAUGUGUGUGAUGAUAAACGGUAUGAAUUCCCUGCAGCUAGCAUGUACUGUUUGCUUGUUCUUUUGGUGCAAGCUAUCAGACUGGCGUGUUUGAUAAUGGUAUGAAUUUUACGGCUUGCUAUUGACUUUGUUGUCGAGAACCAUUAAUUCCAAUAAUUUGAGUUGGACGAAAGGAUUUUAGAAGAGCUAGUGUUUGCACAGUGUUGGUAAAUCAUGUGCACUAAUUGGGGUCUACCAAGAUUGAAUACGGAGAUCUGUCAGUUAUUAAAGGCUUUGAUACCAUGUUAUAAACCAUUGGAUCCCAAUAACUCGAGUUGUUGAGAGAUAAUUCAAUUUAGUUUUUAUAUUAUUCAUUAACACACCCGGAAGCUCUAAACUUCAUGUCACUUGCAGAUAACACAAGGGCCGUAUCCGAAAAUUUGGGAUGCAAGGAGAAAUAUGAUAAUAAAAAAGAUGAACAUUACGUGGAUGUCCUUAUCCCAGAAGUGAUUCAGGUACUGCUGUGUUCAUCUCCCUGAAAUUCUCACAUGCAUGGCCUUACAAGGAUUCCCUUUAAUUACUUACUUCAUUCACCUUAAUUAGCUCUGUUUUUUCUUUUCUCUCAUUGACAGUCAACUGAAAAGGUUUUAAUCUUAGAGUAUAUGGAUGGAAUUCGUUUGAACGACAAUGUAGCAUUGGAAGCCGCUGGUGUUAAAAAGCAAAAGAUUGUUGAGGUAAUCACUCGUGCUUACGAUCAUCAAAUAUAUCUGGACGGAACGUUUAACGGCAAUCUACAUCCCGAUACACAAUUUGUUAAAUGUCGCAUGUUAAGUUAGCCCCAUGAGUCACAACUAUAUUGACCUUAUAAAUCCUAAUAAAUUGAUGUCAUAGGGAAUUUCCUUGUGAGUAAGGAUUCUCCUCAUCGUCCAAUCCUACUUGACUUUGGACUCACAAAGAAAAUACCAGCCUCCUUGAAACAAGCACUUGUAGAAGUUUUUAGUUAAUUGUCGAUAGGGUUUCGAGCAAACCCCUAAUAGAAAAGUUUGGAAACGAUAGAAAUCCUCUCAAGAUAGAGAUCAAACUCCAAUUCCAAUGUGAGUAAUAUGAGUCGUUAGAAAAAGCACAAGAGCCUGUGAAGAUUCAAGGUAAAGAUGAAAGAAAAAAACUAAAGAAACAAGAGAGAUCUCAACAAAAUAAUUGCCUUACAGUCGAGAACGCUCUCCUCUAAGAAGAAACCAUAAACCUUCUACGAGAAUCAACGUACGACCAUCGUCAAAAAACCCUAACUCUCAAGUUGAGAGGAAAAACCCUAAUAGCCAACUUCCGCCGAUAUUUGAAGUGAUAACAUUGAAUAGUCUUUUAAAUCAAUAGUUAACUUCAUACCAUAAAUUUCAAUUUUAAAAGGAAAAAUUUACAGACUACAUCUUUUUCAUUGUUAUAGAGAAAAGAUAGUAAAACAAAUAACUAUUGUAAAGAUAAAAAAGCAUCAUCAGAGAUGUCACUUUUUCCAACAAUGCAGCAAUUUAUGCCAGGUAUGGCAACCCAAUUGAAAGCAACAUAUUAUCCAUCUAUCAGCAUCACCUUUAUGGCAAAGUAAACUAAACGGCUGACUUGGUUCUCUGAACUAAGAACACAAGUUUCUGACAACCCCAUGUUCAUGCUUUCAUUUCAUGUCAUUGACCCCCAUAAAGCUCAAUGUAGCUACCCUUCAUUUUACAACAACACUAAUUUAAGCCCCAACUACAUAAACAAAUAACAAACAAAGAAUAAUAUAUAUAUGGUUUAUAUGCAUUUCUGUGGCUAUAUAAGCCCUCCAUUUCCCUUCUAAUUCAUACUGCACAACUUAUAAAUUCAUCAUCACGAAGUACUAUUUCAUAAGACAUAUAUUACAAUCAGAGUUAUGAAGGUAACUGCAGCGACUAUUCUGAUGGUGGCAGCUGCUCUACAGCUAGCCGUCGUCGUUUCAGCUGCCGAUCAUUAUUACCCGAAAGCCGAAACUGUGUGGUGCAACAACACUCUUAGCCGUUGCUCCGGCGCUUACGUCCCCUGCCCUGCCGAAUGCCCCUCAACUACCUACCCUAAUGCCAAAUCUAAAGUUUGUCACGUCAAUUGUGAUCAUCCCCUUUGCAAGGCCCAAUGCAAGAGUUAGUACAUUAUAUAUAUCAUUCAUUACUAUACUAUUUUAGACGCCAAUCCUAAUAAUUCGAUAUUUGUUGUUGUUUUAGAGCGAAAGCCCAACUGCGACGCACCGGGGUCAGCAUGCUAUGACCCGCGUUUUGUUGGAGGAGAUGGCGUAGUGUUCUACUUCCACGGCAAGACCAACGAGGUCUUCAGCUUGGUCUCCGACCCGAACUUCCAAAUCAACGGACGUUUCAUCGGCCACAAGCCUUUGGGGAGAAGCCGUGACUUUACGUGGAUUCAAUCCUUGGGGAUUGUCUUCAACUCCCACAAAUUCACCCUCGAGGCCACCAAGUCCGCAACAUGGGACAGCAACGUGGAACAUCUCAAGUUCGCUUACAACGGUCAGGACCUCUCGAUCGCGCAGGGCUCUCUGUCCUCAUGGUACUCUGGUGAGAGCAGAGACAUUAAAGUCGAGAGGGUUUCGAACAAGAACAGCGUUAUGGUCACGCUGAAGGACAAGGCUGAGAUCCUUGUGAAUGUGGUGCCAGUCACCAAGGAAGAUGACAGAGUGCACAAAUAUCAAGUCCCUCAGGAUGACUGUUUCGUCCAUUUGGAAGUUCAGUUCAGGUUCUUUGACCUGUCCCCUAAAGUUGAUGGAGUUCUGGGUAGGACUUACCAGCCUGAUUUCGAGAACUCUGCUGCUAAACCUGGUGUGGCUAUGCCGGUUGUGGGUGGAGAAGACAAGUACAGAACAACUGACCUUCUUUCUACAGAAUGCGGAUCUUGCAUCUUUUCAGCAUCAGAAACCACUGAGGUGAAGAAUGUGAUGGACUUUCCUACACUGGACUGCACCAGGGGAUCUGCUGCUGGUUUUGGCAUUGUUUGCAGAAAGUGAGAAACAAUACUGCUGCUACUACUAAUUUACUGUCACAUUACAUGCAAGCUCACUGGAUUCAUCAUCAUCACCAUCACCAUCACCAAUAAUCAUUUGAUCUUUACAAUAAUAAACAUUGUCCCUGCCCCACUAGGGGUGAUCUUCCAUAUAUUACUGUCCUUCAUUUCUGAUGGAAUACAUUUAUGUAAACACAUCAUAUUUUAAUGUUCUAUUUCUACAUGCUCCCACCCUCCAUGCUCGGUAUCAAUGUAGCUCUUCCAACUUUGUUUAUCUCAGCGAAAUUAAAUAAAUUUGAGGAGCUCGCUCGGUACACCUGGAUGCACCUGUACACCCCCAAUGUGGAUGUUUAUGUGUACAACUGUGAGGCGUGACUAAAUAUCCACAUAAUAUUACUUAAUAAUUAUAUUUUAAAUACUAUUAUAUUGUUUAUAUAUCUUUUAGUCCCUUAAUAUAAAAUUGGACUAAUCUGAAACUGACUAAAACAUCAUCAAAAUUUUUAAAAAUACACUUUUUACAACCUCGACUUUCCCCUCUGUAUUUGUGCUCUCUCUUCUUCAUUCCUUUGCCGUCGACGACGAUUUUUCGGGCUGUUGACGUCAAAAAAGGAAGACCAAAAACACUUUGUUUCCUCAUUUCGCAAAAAGUAUGCUCUUCCCCGACUCCCGAUGUUGAUUUCAUCUGGGCAGAGAUGCGAACCUGAAUUUUGUUCCUCUAUAUUGGGAGCAUUCCUCUCUCCGCCAUCGCGAUCUCUCCACGUUCCUUUCAAACAAUAGAAGCAACAACAGAGAGCACUUGCAUUCAAAAGUGAUAUUUAGUUGUCUUCGAGCCUUCCUCUUUAUCCCUAAACGACAAUCCUUCGCUCGAUUGAUGCUCGCAUGCCGUUGCUAAUUUAUCUCACAACAAAGCCAAUUUUUUUAGUCAACUAGGAAGAUUUGGCUCCAGAUAAGUCCCCUCUUUUUUAUAUCCCAUUUCUUAUUGUCAGCUUAAUUCUGAAUUCAUUACAUGGGUCUAUUCAAAUCUGACACCGACGUCGUUUUCAGAACAAUCGCCUCCAUUAUAUUUCAUUAUAUCAGUAGUGCAAUUAGAGCUCCAUGAACCUUAUAUUUAAUUUCAUUAGAUUAGUUGAAGUGCAGUUAGUAGAGCUCCAUGGAUCUUCACCUUGUGGGGGUUCUAUAAUAGUUGAAUCUAAGGUGUUAGAAUAUUUCACUUGUCUUCCUCUCUGUGUUCAACUUUCAAUGGCUUUUAGCGCACCAAAUCCAAUAUUGAUAGAAAUUCUUGUUUGGGUUCAUUGUUCGGUCGGCUAUUGGUCAUGAUCACUAAUUUGGUUUAAAUUAUUUUUUUUAAUAAGAAUCUAUCAUAGAAUACGAAUUUGUACAUCCAUCAAUGAAUUUGAAAUCCAGUUCUGGGUCUUGGACAGAUGAGGGACUUCUAUUUUUUAUUUAUUAAUUAUAGGUCAAUCAAAUUAUAUUUAGUUUCGAAAAAAGAUUAUAAUUGGAUUCGUUAAAAAGAGUUACGUUGAUAGAUGUUCCAAAAGUGGAUAUGUAACCUUCGUCGGCCAAACAUAAUUUCAUCGUCCAACAGUAAACAGGCUCUAAUUUGAUUUGAGCUGCUAGACAGAGGAGGCUAGUGGCAAAAAUUAUUAGUAAUCGUGUUGUGGAACAGUCAAUGAUCGCGACUCGUAUAGUCAAAUUCUCAAGCUGUAAGGAAAGCACACGUGUAGAGCCACUAUAUAUAACAAAUAAUCCGAUUUUCUUCUCCAGUCUCGGUUUCCAUUAAUUCUUCCUUUUAUCUGUCUGUCUCACUCUCAGAGUGAGCUCCUUGGAAUCCACUUUGUUCCAGCAGCAUCUCAUCACCAUCUUCUCAACGUUGCUCAGUGGACUCUGACUUGAACAAGUUCCCUGCACGUCUUUGCUUGCUUGCUUGCUUGGUAUCCAUUCUUAAACCACCCUCUCUACCCAUGCCGGUUUGCAGCUCUUCCCUUUCUUAGGUCGAAUCCUGGAUGAUCUUUUUUUCUAUUUAAUACAAUAUUUAGACCCUGCUAGAUACGAAUUUGAGCCUUCUGCUUUUGUUUUGAUUCAUGUUCGAAACAGAGUGAUAUGGAGGAUCAGAAACCACGGGACUUGAAGCGGAGAGCAUCGGACGGUGGACUCAUGGUCAAACAAGGUUUUGUCAACUCCGCUUCCCAACCAGCAGCAGCAGCAGCUUACUCAGUGAGAGACGACAAAUUCAGGGGCGAAUUUCAGGGUUUCGCCAACGAAAUAGAGGGCUUCUUCGGAGAUAUUUACUCCGAUGAUCUCUUCACCUUCAAAACUCCGGUCAGUCAAAUUUCUAUACAUAUGUUCAUUUCAUAAUUAGUAGUGAACACUUCCAUCUGUUUUCCAACCACAUCACCAAGUCUAGGGCUCCUAAAAGGAUGGAUUGAUUGUCCCUCUUUACUAAUCGAAUUGCAUGACAAAGUAAAACUAAAUUUGAUUUUUAUCUUCACGUUGGUAAGAUUUAUCAAGCAAAAGUAAGGCCUAUAAAUUGUGGUGUGCUGUGUACAUAAGCCAUCUUCUUAAUAGUGGGUAUAUAGUAUGCAUAAGACGGUACCACUUGACAACAUUCACCCAGUAACGUUUUUGCCAAAAAUGGCAGUAGUGUUGGGUUGGCGAUUGGUGAUGUUUGGUUUGCUUUAAGUAGAUACUGCUGGCUUAAUGCCUAAGUUUGUGACACAAGAUUCCAAGAUGCUGAGGAGGACUCGCAAUAACUUUAUUUCUAACGCAAAUUACCAGCAAAGUGCGCCCGUUUUCUACUCAACUUUACACGCAUAAGAAAAACUUCACCUGCUUGCUUUUUUUCUUUUGCCUUUCCUUAAAGACAUUGGAUCAUGGUUGUUAGAAAAUUCUGACUUUAAGUUGAAGGGGUUGAUGAUUUAACCAUAUGAUGGAGACAUGCUACACCAGCAUCAGUAGAUUAGUAUGAAUCACAUCUCUCGUGUUUUGCUGGCCGUCUUGUCAUGUAAUGCACACAACAAAACAUCUUUCUUGUGUCUUUUUGUCCUGUUCAAAGGUCUCUAUCCUUGGGGUUUCAAUUCACACUUGUAGUUAUGUAGUUGUAGCUAUGUUUAUCUGCGCGCGAAUGAAGACAAGUGGUCAGUUUGUAAGUAGUUUUCACUUGGACCCGUAAUAGUUACUGCUAAUUCAACACUAUUCAUAAACAGCUUUACUCAUUGAUGAUUUUGGAUUUUGGAGAUUCUUCUUGUAAGCUCGAAAGUUUUCACUUGAUCCUAAUUUGUUAAAUGAUUCAAAACAAUUGUAUUCAUUAAAAAGAAUUUUCAAAUUGUUAAUAUGCAGGACUCCAUUAAUGGAUUUGCAGCUUGUGGUGGGCUAGAUUCACUUCUAUGGUCACACAAUGUCAACUCCAAGGAAUACAACAAUUCGGUGCCCAUUAACUCUCAGUCAUCAAUUUAUGGUACCACCUUCUGUUCUUACUUUGCAGUUUCCAUUAUGUUAUUUGUUUUAAAAAAAGCGGUUAUUGAUCAGAUGGAAGCCCAAUAUCAGCUAAGCCAAAAGUGAGAGAUAUCAUUCAGCCAAAAGUUACCAUGAGUGAAUCCUCAUCUGAACCAUCCUAUGAGGAGGAAGACGCUGAGAUUGAAGCUGGACCAUGCGAGCAGAGCACCAACCCAGGAGCUGAUUUGAAACGAAUUAGAAGGUAAUGCUAUCAAUACUCUUAUGAUGUAAUUCCUCAAAGUUACCAUGGAACUUGAAUCUGUUUGCUUGUUUCUUUCAAGGAUGGUCUCAAAUCGGGAGUCUGCUAGAAGAUCUCGAAGAAGGAAGCAAGCUCAUUUGACUGAUCUAGAAAUUCAGGUACUUGCAUAGUAUGGUUUUAAUUUUGUCUCCAACAGCUCAGCCAGUGAGUUGAUAACAAAUUUCUGAAGCUCUAUUGUACAGCUGGAAAAUGAAGUUCGUUUAAGGGAGGUAGUAGUAGUAGUAGUAAGAAACUAGUCAGUGGAACUGAUCACUUUGAAGCAAAUGGAUGAGUUGUUGGGCUAGAAGUUUGGUUCGGUAUUGACCAAUACUGAACCGAAUAUUUUAUAUAUUCGUUAAACCAAAAGCCAAUAAAAUAAAUUUGUCAACUGUGAUGAUUCUUAAAUUUGGACACUUUUCGGUAAUUUGCUAUUAUUUUUCGGUUUGGUUCUCGGUUUUACCGACGAACCGAGAUUCUCCACAAAAAUUAAAUAAGUUUAAAUCUUAUUUAUUUUUUGGGAUUUUUGGGGUUUUGGUUCUCACUUUUACCGAAGAACCGAAGGUUUCGUUCUAGAAAAACCUGAAAUUAAGAUAUUUGUUUUCCAGGAAUUUUGGUUUUGGUUUGGUUUUGAUUCGGUUUUCUGGUGAUCAAAUUACCAUGCGCAAUCUGUUUGGUUUUUCGGUUGGGUUUUUACCGAAUUUAUACUUGUUUGACUUUGGUUCCCGGAUUAGCAUGUGUUUCGUUAUUCAGUAUUCGGUUUGGUGUUACCGAACCGAACGGACUUCCACCCUUUAUUGAAGUGUAUGUUUUUUGGUGGUUGUUUCCCUUUGAUUAGGUUGAACAACUGACAGGAGAAAGUGCAUCACUGUACAAGCAGCUGUCAGAUGCUACACAGCAAUACCGGAACGCUGAUACUAAUCAUAGAGUGCUGAAAUCAGAUGUUGAAGCCUUGAGGGCCAAGGUACCACCACUU
rnacentral:lncRNA from 1 species